CCUACACUUUCAGAGGCACUUUGCCCUUGUCUAGAGCUGCAGCCGCCACCCCUCCGCUAGGGUUUCCGUUCGUCUGUCACGCACUCCACGUCCAUUACUCGAACUACUGUGCUCCAAGGUCCCGCGUCGAAGUUCCGUUGGCUCUUUUCCAGUUGGGCGUGGUUCUCAUGGUCAACAAGCGAAUGGGGAUUCCGCAGCGUAGCCAUCUGGGCUGGAGUUUUCUUGUGUUUUAUGUAG